UGUAUGUGUGUAUGUGUGUAUAUGUGUAUAUGUGUAUGUGCAUGUGUAUAUAUAUACACACAUAUAUAUAUAUCACACACACA